GCCCCUGUAGCUCAGGUGGAUAGAGCGACGGAUUCCUAAUCCGCAGGUCGCCCGUUCGAGUCGGGCCAGGGGCG
rnacentral:tRNA from 2 species